GAAACAUGUUGUUUGACUAUAGAACUCUUCUGAGUAAAAUUUGGUGGGAAAUUAGAUUUAUUCACAAGAGAUUUCUAGUUAAAGGAACAUGUUCCCUUAUCCUUUUUUUUUUUUUCUUACAAUGAGGACAAUUCUAGUUCCUAUGAAAUAAUGUGGACUUAGAAUUCAGAACUUGGGUUUGACUUUAACUCCACUCUAUAAACUGUGUAAGAUGGACUAGUUACCUAAAUUCUCUGCACCUACCUGAAAAUGUGAAGUAAUAAUAUCUGCCCCUCAAAUUACUGCUUUUAUAAAACCAUGUGAUGAAAGAAGCACAACUAAGCCAGUUUUGUUAAGGGAUUCUUCUGGAUAUGAGAGUGCAGUGACAGUGAUCACUCGAGAAUCUGCCCCUGAAGUAGGAGUGUGUUUCUGGAACAGCAGCUCUACCCUAGAGAAAAUUCUGUUCGUGACUCCAUGCUGACACUUCAAGGCACUCAGGCAGCUUGUUAAAGACAGCAUCCUUGCUACGAAUGCCAGGCUCCUCGGUGUGACUGUGGCUGGAGAGAAAAGUCUUGCUUCACAUGGGUUCUCAGCCAAUGGACACCAGUGAUGAGAGGAUUCAAGUGGAAGAGUAUGAAAAACUACUUGAGAAUCCCCACAAGGCGCCUCGGAGAUAAAUAUGGACCAAUGUCUCCUAUAGACUCACAUAUGUUUCUGAUUGAAUCAAAGAAUUGGAUGGACACAGAUGAAUUUGAGCAGCAACCAUGUCUACAGGCAUUCAUUAUUUCCUUUUGAGGUGAGACCUGAGAUCCUGGAAUAAAAAUGUGAAGAAAAAUUUUCUGUUUUAGUAC
rnacentral:lncRNA from 1 species